UCAUGUAGGAGGGAGCAUUAAUGCAACAGAGUGCUUGGAAAAUAGAUGUUGUCCUUCCAAAGGCAGCCAUGAACUGAAAUGUUAUAUCCCAUUUAAAGACAAUCUGCAACUGACAUUUCGACUGUUUCUGCUUGGGGCGGUAGGAUUUUUAAUUUUGGGUUGUCUACCAUUAUGUUGCUGUGCCUGCUUCCAGAGGAGUAAAUGUGUCAAUCCUUUACGAAGAGCAAACAAAAAAAUAGAACAAAUUGUGCGGAAUAAGAGAGCAAGUAGUGAAGAAAUGCAUAGCUUGUUACCAAAUUGACUUAAAGACUUUGAGGAUCAUAAAAAUGAGAGAAAGAGGACCAUCCAUGUAAUAUUAAUGAACUCAAGCAGGAGGAAGACACCAGGAUUAUGCGCU
rnacentral:lncRNA from 1 species